UGAGGAAUAUUGGUCAAUGGGCGGAAGCCUGAACCAGCCAAGUCGCGUGAGGGAAGACGGCCCUAUGGGUUGUAAACCUCUUUUGCCGGGGAGCAAAGCCGCCCACGUGUGGGCGGAAGGAGAGUACCCGGAGAAAAAGCAUCGGCUAACUCCGUGCCAGCAGCCGCGGUAAUACGGAGGAUGCGAGCGUUAUCCGGAUUUAUUGGGUUUAAAGGGUGCGUAGGCGGCCAUGUAAGUCAGCGGUCAAAUCGAGGGGCUCAACCCCUUUCCGCCGUUGAAACUGCGUGGCUUGAGUGGGCGAGAAGUAUGCGGAAUGCGUGGUGUAGCGGUGAAAUGCAUAGAUAUCACGCAGAACUCCGAUUGCGAAGGCAGCAUACCGGCGCCCGACUGACGCUGAGGCACGAAAGCGUGGGGAUCGAACAGG
rnacentral:rRNA from 1 species